GUAGGUGGCAAGCGUUGUCCGGAAUUACUGGGUGUAAAGGGAGCGCAGGCGGGAAGCCAAGUCAGCUGUGAAAACUACGGGCUUAACUUGUAGACUGCAGUUGAAACUGGUUUUCUUGAGUGAAGUAGAGGUUGGCGGAAUUCCGAGUGUAGCGGUGAAAUGCGUAGAUAUUCGGAGGAACACCGGUGGCGAAGGCGGCCAACUGGGCUUUAACUGACGCUGAGGCUCGAAAGUGUGGGGAGCAAAC
rnacentral:rRNA from 1 species